CCUCCGAAUAUAUGCAUUAUAAUUUAAUUAAUAUUAUUUUUGCCAUAUCGCAAGCUGUUAUUUAACACAAAAUAACUUGAAAAUGGAAAUAAGUUACUUGAAGGCCUUAUUAGAAGAAUCACAAAGUAAAAAUAAAAUAUUAAUGGAGAAUAAUCGAUUAUUACUGGAGAAAAUCCAUAACAUUGAACAAGGUAAAAAAUCGAUAAACCUCCUAAAAAAGAAAGCACAAAUGCUGCGACUGAUAAGCGCCAAAAUCUUGAUAGCCUUCGAGUAAUAAAUAAAGACUCCCAAGCCGUUGCGCAGAAUCGAGAUAGUUAUGGCCAAUCAUACAGUUCUGUGCUCCAACGUCAGCCUUCAUCUGGUAUUGAAACCUGGGGAAAACAAAACCACGGAAUAGCAAUUAAGAAUAACAACAAAACUUUAAGAAGUAAACACGAAAUAUGUCUAAUUUACCAAAAUAUAUGCUCUAUAAACAACUCGCUUGAUCGUAUUGAACAUAGUGUGAAUAGCCAAAUUACAAAUUGUAAAAUUAUAUGUUUAACAGAACAUUGGCAAAGUAGUGAUGCAUUAGAAAACAUCCAAAUAGAUAACUUCAAGCUUGUAGCAAGUUAUUAUAGACCUAAAGUUUAUGGGGGGCAGCAGUUUAUCUGCAUCAAUCAGUCUUAGGAAAAGAGAGAAAAAAGCUGUCUCAUUUAUCAGUAGAGGGUGAAUUCGAGUGUGCUGUGGCGGAAUGUGUAUUAAAUUCAGAAAUUUUCUCAAUAUUAUCAAUAUAUCGUCCACCUAAUGGAAAUAUUAUAGUAUAGGAUCCCGAUAUAAAACGACCUUCACCGAGAUGCUUAUUUGAUAAAACGUAUUUUAUAUUUAAUUUAAC